rnacentral:rRNA from 1 species
UACAGAGGUCUCAAGCGUUGUUCGGAUUCAUUGGGCGUAAAGGGUGCGUAGGCGGCGCGGUAAGUCGGGUGUGAAAUCUCGGAGCUUAACUCCGAAACUGCAUUCGAUACUGCCGUGCUUGAGGACUGGAGAGGAGACUGGAAUUUACGGUGUAGCGGUGAAAUGCGUAGAUAUCGUAAGGAAGACCAGUGGCGAAGGCGGGUCUCUGGAUAGGUCCUGACGCUGAGGCACGAAGGUCAGGGGAGCAAACGGG